CUACGGGGGGCAGCAGUGGGGAAUUUUGGACAAUGGGGGCAACCCUGAUCCAGCCAUGCCGCGUGAGUGAAGAAGGCCUUCGGGUUGUAAAGCUCUUUCAGCCGGGAAGAAAUCGCAUGGGUUAAUACCCUGUGCGGAUGACGGUACCGGAAUAAGAAGCACCGGCUAACUACGUGCCAGCAGCCGCGGUAAUACGGAGGGUGCGAGCGUUAAUCGGAAUUACUGGGCGUAAAGCGUGCGCAGGCGGAUGCUUAAGUCAGAUGUGAAAUCCCCGGGCUUAACCUGGGAAUUGCAUUUGAACUGGGUGUCUAGAGUGCGUCAGAGGGGGGUGGAAUUCCACGUGUAGCAGUGAAAUGCGUAGAUAUGUGGAGGAACACCAAUGGCGAAGGCAGCCCCCUGGGAUGACACUGACGCUCAUGCACGAAAGCGUGGGGAGCAAACAGGAUUAGAUACCCUCGUAGUC
rnacentral:rRNA from 1 species